GGUGAAAUAGCUCAGCUGUGAAAGCUUUAGACUGAGGAUCUAAAUGUUCCUGGGUUGAACCUAUGUUUUGUCA